rnacentral:rRNA from 1 species
CCUCAGCACGGGGAUAAACCCGGGAAACUGGGUAUAAUACCCGAUAGUUCUGGGAUGCUGGAAUGCUUCCAGGACGAAAGCUCCGGCGACUGAGGAUGGGUCUGCGGCCUAUCAGGUAGUAGUGGGUGUAAUGUACCUACUAGCCUACGACGGGUACGGGUCGUGAGAGCGAGAGCCCGGAGAUGGAUUCUGAGACACGAAUCCAGGCCCUACGGGGUGCAGCAGGCGCGAAAACUUUACAAUGCUGGCAACAGCGAUAAGGGGACCUCGAGUGCCAGGAUACAAUCUUGGCUGUCGUAAUGCCUAAAAAGCAUUGCAUAGCAAGGGCCGGGCAAGACCGGUGCCAGCCGCCGCGGUAACACCGGCGGCUCGAGUGGUAACCGCUAUUAUUGGGUCUAAAGGGUCUGUAGCCGGCCGGAUAAGUCUUUUGGGAAAUCCAGCUGCUCAACAGUUGGGCUUUCAGAAGAUACUGUUCGGCUCGAGGCCGGGAGAGGUGAGAGGUACUUCAGGGGUAGGGGUGAAAUCUUGUAAUCCUUGAAGGACCACCAGUGGCGAAGGCGUCUCACCAGAACGGUCCUGACGGCAAGGGACGAAAGCUAGGGGCACGAACCGGAUUAGAUACCCGGGUAGUCCUAGCCGUAAACGAUACUCGCUAGGUGUCAGCCACGGUGCGACCGUGGUUGGUGCCGUAGGGAAGCCGUGAAGCGAGCCACCUGGGAAGUACGGCCGCAAGGU